GGAGCAGAGUGUGGGGCGUGUGCACCAUGGAUUGGGCUCCCCUGCUCCUCGCCCUCCUGGCUCACUGCACAGGGUCCUGGGCCCAGUUUGUGCUGACUCAGCCCCCCUCUGUGUCGGAGUCUCCGGGACAGAAGGCCGUCAUCUCCUGCACCCGCAGCAGCGGCAGCAUUGGAAGCAACUAUGUGCACUGGUACCAGCAGCGCCCGGGCAGGGCCCCCACCAUGGUGAUCUACAAUGAUAACCAAAGACCAUCGGGGGUCCCCGAUCGGUUCUCUGGCUCCAUCGACAGCUCCUCCAACGCCGCCCACCUGACCAUCUCGGGGCUGCAGCCUGAGGACGAGGCCGACUACUACUGUCUGUCCUAUGGUUAUGACAGCUAUAAGAUAUCCUGGUACCAGCAGAAGCCAGGGAGCCCUCCCCGGUACCUCCUGGAAUAUAAAUCAGACUCAGAGAAGCACCAGGGUUUCGGGGUCCCCAGCCGCUUCUCUGGAUCCAAAGACAACUCGGCCAAUGCGGGGCUCCUGACCAUCUCGGGGCUGCAGCCUGAGGACGAGGCUGACUAUUACUGUGCUGCAUAUCAUAGCGGUGCUCACAGUGAUUCAGAUGACGAGGAAGUGAGACCAAAACCCCUGGCUCCCGCCGUGAUGACUGUCUGCCCUUGGGUGUCAAUCCCAGGAGCCCAUGCAGAGUAA